rnacentral:lncRNA from 1 species
GGUGAGUUUACGAAAACUUAGUGUGUGAAAUCCCAUAAUAGCAAUCAAGCAGAUAAUACACCAUUUGGGCCUAAGCCCUUUCAAUCUCAAUUAGGCCUUAGCCCUUAUCAGUAUCAAAAGUCUGAAUUACAACUAAUGAGCUUUAUAUUUUUAGCUGAAUACAUAAGCUAGCUGAAUGGUCACUAAGAUAACCAAAAGCUAGCUUUGUAUUCAACUUAAUUAAGCUGGAAACUUCCUUG